ACCUUGGAGAAUCAUCCACAAUUCAUGGUUAUUGAGAAGUAUAUUAUAUGUACUGCGUGAUUGUGCUGGUCUAUUGAAUUUGACAUUUAUGAUUUUUAUUUGCAAAUUGUGUGCAACAUUUUAUAAUGCCCCCCUUCGAAGAAGAGGGGGUAUAUUGCUUUGCUCAUGUCGGUCGGUCGGUCGGUAGGUCGGUCGGUCGGUCCGUCCACCAGGUGGUUGUCGUAUGAUAACUCAAGAACGCAUACGCCUAGGAUCAUGAAACUUCAUAGGUAGAUUGAUCAUGACUCGCAGAUGACCCCUAUCAAUUUUGAGGUCACUAGGUCAAAGGUCAAGGUCACGGUGACCCGAAAUAGUAAAAUGGUUUCCGGAUGAAAACUCAAGAACGCAUACGCCUAGGAUCAUGAAACUUCAUGGGUAGAUUGAUCAUGACUCGCAGAUGACCCCUAUCAAUUUUGAGGUCACUAGGUCAAAGGUCAAGGUCACGGUGACCCGAAAUAGUAAAAUGGUUUCCGGAUGAUAACUCAAGAACGCAUACGCCUAGGAUCAUGAAACUUCAUAGGUAGAUUGAUCAUGACUUGCAGAUGACCCCUAUUGUUUUUGAGGUCACUAGGUCAAAGGUCAAGGUCACAGUGACAAAAAUCGUGCUCACACAAUGGCUGCCACUACAAUGGACAGCCCAUAUGGGGGGCAUGCAUGUUUUACAAACAGCCCUUGUUUUA